rnacentral:rRNA from 1 species
AGAGUUUGUAUCUGCUCAGGAUGAACGCUGGCGGCGUGCUUAACACAUGCAAGUCGAGCGAAGCACUUCGUUUUGUAAUCUUCGGAGGAAGGAACGGAAUGACUGAGCGGCGGACGGGUGAGUAACGCGUGGGCAACCUACCUCAUACAGGGGGAUAACAGUUAGAAAUGACUGCCAAUACCGCAUAAGACCGCGGUACCGCAUGGUACAGCGGUAAAAACUCCGGUGGUAUGAGAUGGGCCCGCGUCUGAUUAGCUAGUUGGUGAGGUAACGGCCCACCAAGGCGACGAUCAGUAGCCGACCUGAGAGGGUGACCGGCCACAUUGGGACUGAGACACGGCCCAAACUCCUACGGGAGGCAGCAGUGGGGAAUAUUGCACAAUGGGGGAAACCCUGAUGCAGCGACGCCGCGUGAGCGAUUGAAGUAUUUCGGUAUGUAAAGCUCUAUCAGCAGGGAAGAAGAUGACGGUACCUGACUAAGAAGCCCCGGCUAACUACGUG